GUCGUUUGGCUGAUGUUAAUAGGUGUUUUGAAAGAUCAGCGCGUGCAGAAUCCAUUUCUUUCCUGCAUUUUCGGAUUUUGUUUUCAUAAACCAUUUCCAAUAAACAGAGUGGGUGGCACUUUUAUUUAUAGCUCACUUAGUUUUUUAUUUUAAUUAGUUUUUCUGGAAACGCAGAAGAGAAUGUAUGCAAAACACUCCCGAAUAAUUCACGUGUUUAUUGUUGAGCGUUUAGUCCUGCUAACAAUAUUGUUUUUGUUGAUUUAUCAGACCAUUGAAACAUAUUAAUUGGUGCAUUUUAUUUUAUCAUUGAAACUGCUUAUACCGUCAGUAUAGAGACGUGCAUUAUCCACACUGCUCUUAAAACGCCUCCCCUUUUUGUUUACGCCUACUUAGCGUUGGGCAAGCUUUCUUCCACUUAUUAAAGCCAGCAUUUCUUGCAGAUCUUGAAAGUGUUACCCAGUAUCUGAAAUCUUAUCCUCUGCGAUAGACUGGAUCAUGCAAUACGUUUGCCUGGUAACACAUUUAUUUUCUUAUGCGGACAUUCUAAACACUAUAACAAUUAAGCCCAUGCCUAUGGUGUGGUAUGUCUGUAAAUUUUCUCUGACAUACGUCAAACCAUUAUGGACACAUAUGGCAAAACAAAAACAAAAAACACUCUCCUGGAAUCCACAGCUUUGUCAAUUUUUAGCAGAGGCGAAGCAGCCAAUACCAGUUGCGUUAUUUGUUAUAAAUUUCAAUGCCCCCAUUAGAAAACCUGUUUAAAUCUGGGGGAUUAAGUGUUAGUGUUCUAAAACAAUUGAUAUUGGUUAUACAUUUAGAAAACUAGGAAAAUCUUGCCUGAUUUGGGUUUCUGAUAGCUAGACAUAGUCUAUAUAAGAAGAGCCAUCACUAGCCUCGAUUUUUCUUUUGGAUAUUUUUUUUUUUUUCAAAUGAUCACAAUCUGUUAGAGCAACUUUUCAAACAAUUUCGCUACAACAAUCACCAUAGACUUUAAUAGUGACUUGGAAAGUUUUUUGUAACAGAUUUGAAUAAUUUGAAACGCCUAUUAAAUCAAGGCCAUAGUUGGCAAUCGCUACAGUUUAUGUGAAUUUAAGGAGUUGAUUGAUGCAUGGAAUGAGUACAUUGCCUAAACAGGUAAUUUCCUUCGGACAGUCUCAUACAGAUGUAUUCCAGCGACACUCUGUAACCGAUAACAUUAUCCUCUAACAUAGACAUUCCAUCUGUGUGUGUAACUUUUAUUUUUUAUUUUUUUACAUUCUUUCAGUCAAAAAUACUGUUUUUCAUAAUUUGAUCUCUAAGUACGGCAUAGAAGGCAUAAUGAACAGUUUUCAAAGUGGAUGGUGGUGUAUUUCUCUCGCUGUGUUUGGUAAAUGGUGAGUUCCACUAGAAAUAUCCUUGUGUGGACUGCAAGCUGUUGUAUUUUAAGACAUCUCUUAUCUAAAAGCUUUACCCCAUUGAGUGAUAUUUAUUAAUUUAUUUUAUUCCUCUCGUUCUCGCAUUUCAACUCCUUGCAUGGAAUGUCUGUGUUGGAGGUUGGAAAAGUUAUCUCAGAAUCUAUAACGAGGCUGUGAUGUCAAAAUUAGCUUCACCCAUUAUAUUUGGGGAAAAAAUAAAAUUCUCAGUUUACCUCCCUCAUUUGCUCCCCUGUCUCACACUCUAACCCUCUACCCCCAUUUACGUAUGUGGCAGCUCAAUAGGACUGUUCGAUUUUGAGAUAUUCCAAAUAGUUUCUGGCUACCUAAUAAAAUACCUCAGCUUAUCUUGGUUUUAACUUGGAUGUACUCAAAUAUUCUGGAAAGUAACUGUAUUCUUAAUAGGUAAAAUUUAAAUUGUUUGUUUUUGUUUUGUUUUUUUGUAUAAUUCUAUUCUGUUGGCUCCUCAAUAUAUCAUCAAGAUGGUGAAGGUAAAGGGAAAUGACAUUAGUGAUUUUUGGAUUAAGUUUCAUGUCAUUUCUACCAUAACUUGUCCAAAGCUUGCUUUAAUGUCGAGCAAGGUUUGCCUUGAAUCUUUAAGGUUAGUUUCGACAACCUACCACUCUGACAUCCCUUGUGAUUCAGGCUUUAGUGCAAUCUCCACUCUGCUCCAAUAAGGUUAAUGAUUAGACAGCAGGGCUGGUGUAGAAAACAUUGUUAUUAUCAUCCUCAUCUAAAACGCAUCCUAACCAGUCCACCAUUGGGAGGGAGUGAGAGGGAAUCCACAAGAUGGUCAUUUUACCUAUCUCAAACUUUGAAUCCCACUUGGGCGCAUUAACUGUAAACCGAUUGGUCCUGUUUAUUACCCUCUUAUUUUUCUGUAGUAUUACUAGCCAUGUUAGUUUGUCAAUCCUAUCAAAAAAAAAAACAAUGUCUUUAUAUUUUUUAUAUAUAUAUUAUUGCUUCUAUGCUCGUCUUUACCAAAAAGAAAAAAGUAACCAAAAAGCAAAUAAAAUGUGAAUACAAAAAUGGAGAAGGGAAAUACUUCUUUGCACCCCACCAAGUAUCCAAAUACUGUGAGACACAGCUAGCUUUCUUUUAUGUGCUGGUGUUUGUAGAUUUGGGCAAGGGGGGUUGAAAGGAAGGGGGUAUGGUGGAGUGACGUUUCUACAGGUGAUUACUGAAGAUGCAGAGGACAAGGAGAGAUUCUGAGCCUUUGCCCUACACAUCACAGGUCUCCUUGUCUACUCUUGGCCAGUUUUAAAUCUGAAGUUUUAUGGAUAGGGCCUGAUAUUAAGAGCGUUCUCCUUGGACACAAGUAAAAUCCGUUGUUCAGAACGGAGGUGGAGAGACUUGUGAAAGGCCAGUUUUUUGUAAGAUUACGCAAUGCUCUUAGAGUGAAAAUGCCACUGUUUAGUGUGUAUUAAAUGGCAUCUGAAGGUGUUUGGUAAAUUGCGUCUGUGUCGAUACACUGAAAAUCUCAAUGGGCCAUGCAAAGAAGGCAUUCAAGGUUCACGACCUCCACAUGUCCUUCAGGAGUUGCAUUUCCAAAGAUGAUGUAAUACAUGUUUUGAUGUUUGUUUUGUAAUUUUCUUUUUUUUUUUUUUUCGUGUGUGUGUGUGUGCUGGUUUGCUUUUUAUUGGUGUCUGUAGCUCAAGUAAAAUGCUUAAGACCAAAAUAUUUAAAUAGUAGGGCUACUUUGAGAUGAAAUCUAUAUUCUUCUUGCUGCAUAACAAUAUCUAGUGUUUAAUAAAAGACCCCCACAUCCUUGUUUUUUUUCAGAAAGAUACUUUAAGGUCAUACCCUCCUAAAGUGCCCCUUGUCCCCAGUAGCUGUGGGACAGGGCACAAAUUCUUGUAAAGGACCUUAAGCCUGCGGCAGCAUGACAAGAAACGAGAGAAAAUGGUUGCAAACGUGGGGAGUUCUCACCUGGUUCAUAUUUGGAUGGGAAAAUCUCUUGGUUUUGAUUUUGUUACAGGUGUUUGAAAGCUUUAGACGCGUCUGUUCAACAGAUGUGGAAGUGGUAUUAAUUAGUAUUGUUCGACUUAACGAGCAUCUCAGUAGCUAUGGACGUAGGCCUUUAUAGACUAGGAACAUAAUGAAGCUGCCUAGUGACAUGCUUGGAGCAUGAGGUAUUUAAACUGUUUAUAUAUAAAGCCUAAAAGUGAAGUAGGAAAGGCAAAAAAAUAUUUAAAAAAUGCUUUAUUUCUGUAGUUGUACAUCUACAGCUUUAAAACAAUUGCCAUAAGCAAUAAGGUGGCACUAAAUAACGGUUGUUUCUAAUCGAGACGUUGGCUGGCCCCUUUUCAGUGUUCAAUUUUACAAAAAAAAAACUGUUAAUUUACCUGUAAAAAAAAAAAAAAAAAAAAAAAUUCUAAAUUUUUCAAUUUUAUCUUUAAAGAUUUCUGCUAAUGGGAAUGAUUUACUCAGUUGCUUUCUAUACAAGAAAACUCAUUUCGAAUAUUUGAUAAGCUCAAUAAUUUUUUAUAUUUUUUUUUUUCCCUUUACCUACUUCCAUGUUCUAAGUCUAGUUGAAUGGUCGUGGGGUCGGCUCUACCACAGGUACGGGAGCUGUUGUAUACCUCAUUUUAAAACUUAAUACAGAGUAAUUUGCUUUAACUUUGUCUAGAAACCUUGCACCGCCGUUAACUUUGCCACGAGUAAGGUCGACCUAUUGGCCAGUAGCACCAUGGGGCAGAUUUCUUGUACUAUUUAAGUCCCUCCAUACAUUAGAUCUUUUAUACAUUGAGGGCAUAUUGCAAUCUCAUGCUUUCUCUGUUAGAAGACGUUGCUUGAUCGGAGAUAGGUUCAAGUCUAAAGUAACACAAUACUUCUGCCUUUUACAUGAUGCAAAUGAAUGCGUGCAUGAUAUCAUUUCCUGUAGUACACCAGGGGCCAGCCUAAUCGUCUCCACUUGGUGCUACGCUAAUACUGCGCUCAUCAGCUGGCUGAACAAAAUGGCAGUUGCAGUCCAAGUACCGGUGGAGAUGCUUCAGGUGACCUCUUCUGUUACAGAAAGUGAAAGGUUUUGUGAAAGUUUAGAGUAAAAACUGCUAGAAUUUAUUGUACUUUUUCUACCUUGUUGAUUCACACUGCUUUAUCUCAAUACUGACCAAAAAAAAGUGUAAAUGCAAGUGUUAGUGUUUGGACAAUCUUGCGUAACAUCUGGUUUGGGAGCAUCCUUGCUUCUCAUCUACUGUUUUUACUCUGAAUGUAGCAGUUCCUCCACCCUGUUCUAGGACAUCUGUUGUGCCCACGUCGCUGUGCCGCCGCCGCUGCUGCUGUUAAGCGCCGGUGUCUGGUUUCUUUGUCUUGUUUUGUUACGUUUUAAAUUUCCAGCCAAAACCAAAGAUUUCUCUAUGAUUGUAUAAACUGAAAACAAAAACCAAAAAAUAUAUCUGUUGGAGAGAACAUGUCUUCGUGUCCAGGUCUCGUCUGUGGCUGGUACAGAGGGGUUUCUAGAAUUUGUAUGUUUGAAAUAACCACUGUUGUUGAGUUUGGGGCUUUGCCCUUGAGCGAUCUUCUAGCCAUGUCUCAGAGUGCCCGGUGCACUGAAGAUGCCAGGGUUUUUCUGGCUCCUCUGGUGGGUUUUCCUUUAUUUUUCCAGAGUCGGGAGGGCUGUUGAUUAACUAAAGCAAUGCAUUUUCUAGGCUUCUCCGAUCUGUUAAGUCAAACCCCUUGUGGGCUGGGUGAUGUUGAUUAAUACACGCUGAGGUGCACUUUUUUUUUUUUCUCUCUUCUCACCCUUUCCUAGAAAUAAACGGAACAAACUGUUAAACACAUCCAUCGCCCAUAGCUUUCUCCUGGUUUGUGCUCCUCUCAGCGCCACAUGCAACUAUGCAUUGUAUUUUUCAACUUUUCUUGUGCUAGGUAGAUGCCUGUGACUUUUUUAACUUUUUUUUUUUUUUUUGGGUGGGGGGGGGGGGAGAGCAGGGUGGGGUUGCAAAUGAAGGAACUUUUUACAUGGCUGUGGUUUUUUUUUUUUUUCUCUUCUAUUCUCAGUUGUUUGUGGGGGUGUUGGUCGUAGGGUCAUACAAGCUCUAUCCCAAAGCAAAAUCCAAAUGUUACUAAUUUUAGCCUGAUGCAGAUACCAAAGAAAAUUUCUUUCCUGCAGAACCUUAGACUUGUGUAUUAAAGUACUAUUACCCAGCACUUGCAUUAGUCUAACCUCAGUAAUUCCAAAGCUUAGAUGUAUAUUUUGGUAUAUUUCUGGGAUAUUAAAAAAAUAGAAAAAAAUAAAAAAAUUGUUGUUGAAAUGAUGUUCGUUUCAGUGUAAUGCUCUUAAAGUCAUAGCAUGGAGAUUAACUGACCUGUCUUAUUCUUAGUAGUUUGAAAUAAUAGUAUUUUUGUAUGUUUUGGGUGUGUCUGUGUAUGUAUUAACAUAACAGUUUUCACUGCCUAUAUGUUCAUAUUAAAAAUUGACUAAAAAAAAUUUGGAAAAAAAAAUGAAAGUUCUAAAAUGUGUACAUAAUAUUCAAUAAUGAAAAAUGUCAUCUGAACUCCAAUUUCUGCUCAUGUUUUCACUGAUUACAGUUUCCACCUUGGGUGAUUUUAUAUUUAAAGAAACUGCCGCCCUUGUUUCUCUUUGUUUUGUCAAAAUGUAAAUUGUUGUAAUAAUUGUGAUGUGUUACCUUUAAAUAAAGUGUAUGAAUUUUUACAUUUUCUUUGUGUUGUUUGAAGGAACAUGGGACAGCCUUAAACUGCUAUGGACGUUCCUUCCAAAACCAUUUUAUGCUUUACUGAUAGUGUGAAAAUUGUUUUUAUUAAUAUAUGUCAAAUUUAGCUCGGACCACUGCACCAAAUAACCCAUUGAAUAUUGGCACUGAAUAUAUCUUGGAGCAUAGUUGUUUUUCUUGUUUUUUUUUUUAUUUUGCCCCUUAGAUUUUGAAUAUCAAAAAUAGGGGCAGACUGAAGACCAUUAUGCCUAAAAUAUUAAAAUUUAGCACGUAAGUCAGCAAUGGCUAAACAUGGCAUUAGAAAUUUCUUGUGUGCUGAAGCAUCAUGGGAAACGCAGUGGUUCUUCAUUAUUCUAAUGCAUUUCAAACCAAAGUUAAAAAAUAAACUGGUAAAAUUCUCUUUACUGUUGUGUGUAUAAAUAACUAGCAAAACCAAUCUGAAGUCACUUCUGUCAGACUAUGAAAAUACAACCAUUUUAAUGCAAUAUGAUUUGUACACUUGACAUUGGAGAAACUGGGUGACUGUCGCUUUAAAGACAACCUUGCAUUUUUCCUAGUGGGACACCUUGGGGUGCUCACGAACUCUGAAAGAUUAUGUAGACUACAGUGAAUCAGGAUAAAUGGUAGAUUUUGUGUAGACGCAUUUGUCUGCUGUAAUUUUUUAUAUAUAUUAAACUUACUGUAACUGUACAGUUCAUUUCUGUUGUAAACAUCAUUAAAC
rnacentral:lncRNA from 1 species